rnacentral:rRNA from 1 species
UAGGGAAUCUUCGGCAAUGGACGAAAGUCUGACCGAGCAACGCCGCGUGAGUGAAGAAGGUUUUCGGAUCGUAAAACUCUGUUGUAAGAGAAGAACGGGUGUGAGAGUGGAAAGUUCACACUGUGACGGUAUCUUACCAGAAAGGGACGGCUAACUACGUGCCCGCAGCCGCGGUAAUACGUAGGUCCCGAGCGUUGUCCGGAUUUAUUGGGCGUAAAGCGAGCGCAGGCGGUUAGAUAAGUCUGAAGUUAAAGGCUGUGGCUUAACCAUAGUACGCUUUGGAAACUGUUUAACUUGAGUGCAGAAGGGGAGAGUGGAAUUCCAUGUGUAGCGGUGAAAUGCGUAGAUAUAUGGAGGAACACCGGUGGCGAAAGCGGCUCUCUGGUCUGUAACUGACGCUGAGGCUCGAAAGCGUGGGUAGCGAACAGGAUUAGAUACCCUGGUAGUCCACGCCGUAAACGAUGAGUGCUAGGUGUUAGGCCCUUUCCGGGGCUUAGUGCCGCAGCUAACGCAUUAAGCACUCCGCCUGGGGAGUACGACCGCAAGGUU